AUUGAACGCUGGCGGCAGGCCUAACACAUGCAAGUCGAACGGUAACAGAAAGCAGCUUGCUGCUUUGCUGACGAGUGGCGGACGGGUGAGUAAUGUCUGGGAAACUGCCUGAUGGAGGGGGAUAACUACUGGAAACGGUAGCUAAUACCGCAUAACGUCGCAAGACCAAAGAGGGGGACCUUCGGGCCUCUUGCCAUCGGAUGUGCCCAGAUGGGAUUAGCUAGUAGGUGGGGUAACGGCUCACCUAGGCGACGAUCCCUAGCUGGUCUGAGAGGAUGACCAGCCACACUGGAACUGAGCCACGGUCCAGACUCCUACGGGAGGCAGCAGUGGGGAAUAUUGCACAAUGGGCGCAAGCCUGAUGCAGCCAUGCCGCGUGUAUGAAGAAGGCCUUCGGGUUGUAAAGUACUUUCAGCGGGGAGGAAGGGAGUAAAGUUAAUACCUUUGCUCAUUGACGUUACCCGCAGAAGAAGCACCGGCUAACUCCGUG
rnacentral:rRNA from 1 species